rnacentral:rRNA from 1 species
CCCUUAGAUGUUCUGGGCCGCACGCGCGCUACAAUGAUGCAGGCAACGAGUGCCGCUCCUUAGCCGAAAGGCUUGGGGAAUCUUGAAAACUGCAUCGUGCUAGGGAUAGAUGAUUGCAAUCGUGCAUCUUGAACGAGGAAUGCCUUGUAAGCGUGAGUCAUCAACUCGCGCUGAAUACGUCCCUGCCCUUUGUACACACCGCCCGUCGCUCCUACCGAUUGGAUGGUCCGGUGAACUGGUCGGACUGAUGAUUGAGAUUGCGGGUGCAGUUGAUUCACGGAAAGUCUAGUAAACCUUAUCAUCUAGAGGAAGGAGAAGUCGUANCA